AUGUCGUGGGCAGAGAGGCCCUGGCCAGGCCUGGAUCCUGAGGGGGGGCCCAGAUCCAAGGGGAGCCCAGCUAGGCCCGGCUUUUGGGGGGCCCAGCCAGGCCUGGAUCCAAGGGGAGGCCCCAAAUCCAAGGGAGGCCUGGCUAGGCCCAGAUCCAAGGGGGGCCCAGCUAGGCCUGGCUCUCGGGGGCCCAAAUCCAAGGGAGGCCUUGCUAGGCCUGGCUCUCGGGGGGCCAAAUCCAAGGGGAGUCCAGCUAGGCCCAGAUCCUGAGGGGCCCAAAUCCAAGGGAGGCCUGGCUAGGCCCAGCUCUCGGUGGGCCCAGCUAGGCCUGAAUUCAAGGAGAGGCCCCAAAUCCAAGGGAGGCCCAGCUAGGCCCAGCUCUCGGUGGGCCCUGGCUAGGCCCAGUUCUUGGUGGGCCCAGCUCCUGAGGCGAGCCCAGCCAGGCCCAGGUGCCAGUCCUGCCUAGGCAGGCAGAGCCUCGAGCUCUUUGGGUUUCAGCAGUUUCUUGGCGGCGAUGAUGGUGUUUUUCAUCAGCAUGGCCACGGUCAUGGGCCCCACACCGCCGGGCACCGGGGUGAUGUAACUCGCCUUCUUCCUCA
rnacentral:lncRNA from 1 species